GCGCAGGCGGGGCAAUAAGUCAGUGGUGAAAUCCUGCGGCUUAACCGUAGAACUGCCAUUGAUACUGUUGCCCUUGAGUAUAGUUGAGGUGGGCGGAAUAUGUAAUGUAGCGGUGAAAUGCAUAGAUAUUACAUAGAACACCGAUUGCGAAGGCAGCUCACUAAGCUAUCACUGACGCUGAGGCACGAAAGCGUGGGGAGCGAACAGGAUUAGAUACCCUGGUAGUCCACGCCGUAAACGAUGAUCACUCGUUGUUGGCAAUAUAUCGUCAGCGACUGAGCGAAAGCAUUAAGUGAUCCACCUGGGGAGUACGAUCGCAAGAUUGAAACUCAAAGGAAUUGACGGGGGCCCGCACAAGCGGAGGAACAUGUGGUUUAAUUCGAUGAUACGCGAGGAACCUUACCUGGGCUUAAAUGCAGAACGACGUACCGGGAAACUGGUACUCCCUUCGGGGCGAACUGCAAGGUGCUGCAUGGCUGUCGUCAGCUCGUGCCGG
rnacentral:rRNA from 1 species